UCACCACCACCUCUGUUCACUGCCAACACUCCGCCAUACACUCCCAACCGAUCACCACCUCAACUCCGCCACCUCCGGCAACCCACCUCCGACCAUCAUCACCUCCAAACCCUUAAUUUUCACCAACUCAACCGCCACAACCUCAAUUCUCCCGGCGCUCACCAUCCACCUGAAAAAAACUGUUCAAGAGGUACGUUGAGAUCAACCAUUAGCAGAAUGGGCAGAAUUAUGAACUGCAACUUUCUUUUGCUAAUUUCUUUUUGCGAAACUGCUACAGUUGUAAAACGCAACACAAGAAAAAGCUUUAAAAUAAAUUUCUUUUGAACUGUAACUUUCUUUUGCUGCUUUCAUUGAGUUUAAUAUUGUCACUACAAGACAAAAUCAAUUUUCAUGUUUGAUUCAUAGAUGCAAAAGAAAUUCAGAAUCUAACCAUUUUGCAAUUUUCAAGAGUUUUUCAAUUGCGUUUUACCAAACAAUUAAAAAGCAUAUUUUUAGGGUUUUAACUCAUUGCGUUUUAUUAAAAAAAACAUAUUUUUUUUGUGUUUUUAGCCCGUUAGGUUUUAGAAAAAAACACCUCUUGGUGUUUUUAAUCCAUUGCGUUUUAGAAAAAAAACACUUUCUUUUGUGUUUUUUGUCUAUUGCGUUCUAGGAAAAAACACAUUUUUAUGUGUUUAUUGAUCCAUUGCGUUUUAGAAAAACACAGUUUGAAGUGUUUUUAGCCCAUUGCGUUUUAGAAAAAACAUUUUCUUUUGUGUUUUUAAGCUAUUGCGUUUUAGAAAAAAGACAUUUUUAAGUGUUUUUUUGGUCCAUUGCGUUUUAGAAAAACACACUUUGAAGUGUUUUUAGUCCAUUGCGUUUUAGAAAAAUGUCAUUUUUUAGGUUUUUUUUUCAUUGCGUUUUACGCAACUGGGUUUUUUCAUUGCGUUUUACGCAACUGGGUUUUCAAAAAAAAAAUUUCGAAAAUAUAGCAAUAGUAUACUCGUUUUAAAGAUAAAAAAACGCUCGUUUUUUUUGGUGCAAUUUUUAUAAAAAAAUAAUGUCGUAUGAAAGUGUUAUUAACGUUUAAAAAAUGGGGGGGGGGAGGAGGAGAGAGAAACUAUUGCAUUGGAUUGACUAGAAUGCCCCUAAACAAACUCACGCGCCUCUUUUCUUCUCUUCAAUUUCCAUCAUUUAAUCUUAGCCCUUGAUUAACUAAAUGGAUGGCCAAGAUCACUUCCUAGCCUUCUUAGCCAAAUAAACUUCCUAUUGUAUCUCCACCCUAUUAGAUAGAAUCAAAAUCAAGAGCAUAUGUAUUUAUUAAUUUCUCGGUCAUCAUCGUCUUGUAUAUACAUAUUUUUCAAUUAUAUUUAACUAUAUGCUUUAGGUGUUUACUGUUCAAAAAAUAAUAUUUUUUAAACAGCGUUUGAAGCUACCCUCAAUACUUGAGUGAGCCUUCCUAAGAUGGAAUGACAAAUGUUCAUACUGAUUUUGAUGCUUGAAGCCUGACUCACCUAAGAACAACAUGAAGGAGGAAAUUGUAAAAUUUAUGGUAUCAAAAUACACCAAAUCAGAAAUACCCAAACCGAAAGAGUUUUUACCCAAAAACAGAAUAUUCUGAAUACAGAUUACAAAGAACCGAAAUACGAAUCACGCACACUCUCUAAAGAUCAUCAACACGAUGAUCUUAACAACUGAGACGAGAGCCACAACUUCUGCGAACAAACAAUACUCAAAAAAGAAACCCUAAUCGCCCUAAGAGAGAGAGAACGGACAGAACUUGCAAAAAUAUCUCUGUGUGUAACCAAACUGAUACGGGUCGAAGUCUUUUAUAGACACCCAAUACUUGAACCCGGAUAUCCAGGAGAGUUGUUAUAACAACUUGAAUCCAUGCUGCACUAAUGAACUUGUUAUAUCUUCACUUGACAACUUGACCCAUUAAGCAAGCCCAGAUCCUUGUGCUACAAGCCCAAUACGUGAACUGCAACAAGCCCACUUACCUACAAAUUAACAAACCAAUAACAAGUCACUGCAACACUAAUCAAAUAAUUAAAAUUUUAUAGAAGUUGCUGAAUAAACAAACGUUAGAAAUAAUGAAAUUGUAGUAUAUCAUUGAAUAUUUUCAACACCCCCCCCCUCAAUUUCAUCAUUUAAACGCAUCAAAAAGCUUCAACUCAUUACACAGAAAAUGAUGUGUUUUUACCAGAACCCCUUUGGUAAAUAAGUCAGCAACCUGACUCUCAGAUCUUACUCCAACACAUUUUAUUGUACCUUUAGCAAUUAGAUCACGCAAAAAGAAUAGAUCCAACUCAAAAUGUUUGGUCCUAUCAUGAAAAACUGGAUUAGCUGCAAUUGAUAUUGCAGCUUUAUUAUCACAAUACACACUAAUAGGAAGUUUAACGUCUACUUGCAACUCACUUAAUAAAUUUUUAAGCCAAACUGUCUCACAUGCAGUAGCACACAUAGCUCUAUACUCGGCCUUAGCUGAGGACCUAGAAACAGUUGUUUGUUUCUUACUUUUCCAGGACACCAAGUUAUUACCUAAAAAACGCAAAAACCUGUAACAGAUUUCCUAGAAACUAAGCAUUUAGCCCUGAUGUGCGUUAGGUGUAAUAUAUUUUUAGAUGUUUAUUUAAGCCCUUUUUACACUUUUAGCCAAGUUUUAAAUUUAUAAAACACGAUAUUCACUAACACUAAACACACAUAUGGGCAAGUGCACCCAUCGUGGACGUAGUAUAGUGUUGGUAAGAUACCGAGGUCGUCCAAGGACACAAGAGCUUUUAAUACCGGUUUAUCCUCAACGUCUAAUCGAAUCAAAAAGUUAGAAAAUUGUUUUAAACUAAGAAAAAUAAAAACUAACUAAAUGCUGAAAAAGAAAAUAAAAACAGAUAGACAAGAUGAAUCACUUGGAUCCGACACGUGUAUUAGCCCCUCUUUUGAAGGCGACGUUACCCUCAACCCAGUAGUUUGAGUCAGCAAGGAUACAAUCCUAAAGGGUCGGAUUAUUGGAAGAUAAUGAAUUAAGUUAUUAAUGCAAAUUAUGGUAGGCCCCGCUUUUGGCGGUGACGUUACCCUCGGCUAAGUAGUCUGAGUCAGCAGGGAUACAGUCCUAAAUAGCCGGGUUAUAGUAUUAAUAGUAGUUAGCUUAUGAGGGGGUCAAAGAGUUUGGAUCCCCGCCAUCCAAUACCUAUGGGCAUUGAAGGAGAUCCUACUAAAUUUGACCCAGGUCCCAAGCAGGACCUCUAAACGCUGAACAAGGGCAAGACCCUUACCAAACCGUUCCCUUAACCCCCGACCAGGUAGCCAACAUACCUCCAUAUAGACUGUGGAGAUAUGAAUGGUGAAAAUCUUUUAUUUUAUAUAGACAAUAAAAUAAUGCCAAGACACCACGGACAAACGAUAAGGAAAGAUCACCUUCAACAUAAGUAACUAGUUAUUAAAGUCAUUAAUACAA
rnacentral:lncRNA from 1 species